AUGGGGCUGGCAACGCAGCAGGUUUGCUCACAGCAGCCGCACCAGAGCCCCGGGAGGAAGGCCUUGCGUACGAUGUCAGGACGGCUGCACCUUCCCUGCGACAGGAACGUGGCCCUGUGUGUGCUGUCCCAGGGUCAGGAACGUGGCCCUGUGUGCACUGUCCCAGGCACAGGAACAUGGCCCUGUGUGUGGUGUCCCAGGGACAGGAACGUGGCCCUGCGUGUGCUGUCCCAGGGACAGGAACGUGGUCCUGUGUCCGCUGUCCCAGGUGACAGGAAUGUGGCCCUGUGUGUGGCAUCCCAGGGACAGGAAUAUGGCCCUGUGUGUGGUGUCCCAGGGACAGGAACGUGGCCCUGUGUACGCUGUCCCAGGGACAGGAACGUGGCCCUGUGUGCGCUGUCCCAGGGACAGGAACGUGGCCCUGUGUGCGCUGUCCCAGGGACAGGAAUAUGGCCCUGUGUGUGGUGUCCCAGGGACAGGAACGUGGCCCUGUGUCCGCUGUCCCAGGGACAGGAACAUGGCCCUGUGUGCACUGUCCCAGGGACAGGAACGUGGCCCUGUGUGUGCUGUCCAGGGACAGGAACGUGGCCCUGUGUGCGCUGUCCCAGUGACAGGAACGUGGCCCUGUGUCCGCUGUCCCAGGGACAGGAACAUGGCCCUGUGUGCGCUGUCCCAGGGACAGGAACGUGGCCCUGUGUGCGCUGUCCCAGGGACAGGAACGUGGCCCUGUGUGCGCUGUCCCAGGGACAGGAACGUGGCCCUGUGUGCGCUGUCCCAGGUGACAGGAACGUGGCCCUGUGUGCGCUGUCCCAGGGACAGGAACGUGGCCCCUGUGUGCGCUGUCCCAGGGACAGGAACAUGGCCCUGUGUGUGCUGUCCAGGGACAGGAACGUGGCCCUGUGUGCGCUGUCCCAGGGACAGGAACGUGGCCCUGUGUGCGCUGUCCCAGGGACAGGAACGUGGCCCUGUGUGCGCUGUCCCAGGGACAGGAACGUGGCCCUGUGUGCGCUGUCCCAGGGACAGGAACGUGGCCCUGUGUGUGCUGUCCCAGGGACAGGAAUGUGGCCCUGUGUGCGCCGUCCCAGGUGA
rnacentral:lncRNA from 1 species